CAAUUCUAAAGUAUGAAGUUCAUGUACAAAGUUUACAGAGACAUCUUGUUAGACAAAUUCAAAAUUUAAAUCUUAGCCAAUAAACCUAAAGAUCUUCCUGCUCUAAUCAGUCCUGAAUGAGGUAAAGCUCAGCUGAUCCUACUUGUACUCAUCAAGACCCACAUAAAAAGCAAAGACUAAGCUACCUCUGUUCUAUGCAAUCAUGUUUGUGUUUUAUUUGGUGUUUUUGGUAUAUGUUGCCAUGUCGGUGGGUCAAACUGGUGAGAUGAAGAUAACAUUAAUGCUUUUAUGUGUUUGGAUUGCUAGGUGAAGUUUGAUCUGUUAAUUGUUUUUGGCUUCAUAGGCAUUCCUCGGUAUGGGAAAGGCCACUGGGUCAUGGAUGAAAACACACAGUAUUAUGAUACAGAUGAAGGCUUCCCUCUGGAACAAAAUGUGUCCAAUGACAACUCUUUAGAAGAGGUUCCUUUCCCAACAGUUGAAGGCCAGAAUUUGCUCACCACUGAAGAGUCUCCUCUUCUGAUGGGACAAGAUUCUACAGAAGUUCAUGACUCAAAAGUGUGGAAAAUUGUCCUGGUGACUGUCAUCCUGUUGAUGUCCGUGGUGGGAUCUCUGGCCACGGCCUACUACCUGUGUGUCUGGAGAGGGGGCAGGAUUCACUACCAGCCCCAGAAGACGUACACAUAAAUAUCAAUAAAUUUAUAAAAUGGUAAUCUUUUUAUAUUCUAGUGAAUUCAUUUUUUUUUUUUUUCCUUUUAAACUCAUCCAAUAAAAAACACUUGUGUUACUUACAGAAAGUGGAGCAAGAGUCUAAGGCCACCUGAUGGAGUCGAUUGACUUUUGUCAGACUGAAAUUCCUGCACCAUAAUCUAUUAAACUCCUACCAGUUUAUCUCCCCACCCCCCGAGUCUAAAUGUUAUAUACACCUAUUUUACAAGAACAUAAAAGAUUUGAGGCUCUUGUAGUUUAGGAUAUGGUCACUAGAUGUCAUCACUUGUGUUCGUAUGUUCCUGGUUGGCAGUUCACUUUAAAUACAGAGGGAAAUGAAGGAAAUUGGUUGUAGACCUAAAACUUAAGAAAAUUUUGACAUUUUGGUUCACAAAACAAAGUGAGGAAAGUCUGGUUUGAGUGAAUUGAACCUAUCCUAAUAUUUGAUUUCCUUCACAUGGAGAUGCUGCUGCUUUAUGCAUACACCUUAGGAUUCUAACUUAAGGCAGUUGGUUCCAAAAAAAGUUGCAUGGGUAUCUAUUGAUCUACUCCCUCAGAAGGUAUUGACUUGACUUGGUCCCCAUACCUUUCCCUCUAAAUGUAUUGUCUAAAUUGGGCAUGUCCAAAGUACGGCCCGUGGGCCAAAUGCAGCCUGCACUAAGUUUUCAAUGACCCUCUAGCAAAAUCAAUAUGCAGCACGCUGCAUCUUAAGUGUAUGAUUUC
rnacentral:lncRNA from 1 species